rnacentral:rRNA from 1 species
UACGAAGGGGGGCUAGCGUUGUUCGGAAUUACUGGGCGUAAAGCGCACGUAGGCGGAUCGUUAAGUCGGGGGUGAAAUCCUGGAGCUCAACUCCAGAACUGCCUUCGAUACUGGCGAUCUUGAGUCCGGAAGAGGUGAGUGGAACUCCUAGUGUAGAGGUGGAAUUCGUAGAUAUUAGGAAGAACACCGGUGGCGAAAGGCGGCUCACUGGUCCGGUACUGACGCUGAGGUGCGAAAGCGUGGGG